GUAACGGCGAGUGAAGCGGUAACAGCUCAAAUUUGAAAUCUGGCUCUUUCAGGGUCCGAGUUGUAAUUUGUAGAAGAUGCUUCGGGUGUGGCUCCGGUCUAAGUUCCUUGGAACAGGACGUCAUAGAGGGUGAGGAUCCCGUAUGUGACUGGCUGCCUUCGCCUAUGUGAAGCUCUUUCGACGAGUCGAGUUGUUUGGGAAUGCAGCUCUAAAUGGGUGGUAAAUUUCAUCUAAAGCUAAAUAUUGGCCAGAGACCGAUAGCGCACAAGUAGAGUGAUCGAAAGAUGAAAAGCACUUUGGAAAGAGAGUUAAACAGUACGUGAAAUUGUUGAAAGGGAAGCGCUUGCAACCAGACUUGCGCCCCGUCGAUCAUCCCCCGUUCUCGGAGGUGCACUCGGCGAGGCUCAGGCCAGCAUCGGUUUCGGUGGUGGGAUAAAGGCCUUGGGAACGUAGCUCCUCUCGGGGAGUGUUAUAGCCCUCGGUGCAAUGCCGCCUACCGGGACCGAGGACCGCGCUUCGGCUAGGAUGCUGGCGUAAUGGUUG
rnacentral:rRNA from 2 species